rnacentral:rRNA from 1 species
UCUGGUGACAAUGGCAAGGAGGUCACACCUGUUCCCAUGCCGAACACAGAAGUUAAGCUCCUUAUAGCCACUGGUA